ensembl:miRNA microRNA 26a-2
GGCUGUGGCUGGAUUCAAGUAAUCCAGGAUAGGCUGUUUCCAUCUGUGAGGCCUAUUCUUGAUUACUUGUUUCCGGAGGCAGC